rfam:Hordeum vulgare subsp. vulgare, WGS project CAJW01000000 data, contig: morex_contig_244392
UUAAUACUCCCUCCGUCUGAAAUUACUUAUCGUAGAAAUAAAUAAAAAUGAAUGUAUCUAAAACUAAAAUACAUCUAGAUACAUCUAUUUUCGUGACAAAUAUUUUCAAAUGGAGGGAGUAGAUU